UACGUAGGGGGCAAGCGUUGUCCGGAAUUACUGGGCGUAAAGGGUUCGUAGGUGGCCAACUAAGUCAGACGUGAAAUCCCUCAGCUUAACUGGGGAACUGCGUCUGAUACUGAUUGGCUUGAGUGCAGGAGAGGAACGCGGAAUUCCAGGUGUAGCGGUGAAAUGCGUAGAUAUCUGGAGGAACACCGGUGGCGAAGGCGGCGUUCUGGACUGCAACUGACACUGAGGAACGAAAGCCAGGGGAGCAAACGGG
rnacentral:rRNA from 1 species